rnacentral:siRNA from 1 species
UUUAAUGGUGACCGAACUGUAC